UUUUCUCCGUCCGCCGCCACCACACAUCGCAUCUUCUCAUCCCCGUCCUCCACCACCACGCAUCUCCUCGUCCCCGUCCCCCGCCUCCACGCCUCCCAUCUUCUCCACCCCGUUCUUCGCCUCCACCUCCCCGCCUCCAACCGAUGAGGGCAACCAAGAUCCAUGGUGAUGGCGGCUGAAGCGGCCCGAUGGAAGCGGAAGCCAACCAUAGCCGAUGCGGCGAGCAGCUGCUGCUCGCAAGCAACGACCAGGGCCAUGGAUCUACUGCAGAGGCCUUCUACUCCGUCUCCCAGGCCGCGUAGCUGCCUCGCCGUCCGGAGAUUCGGAUCAGCCAGCGCGGGACGAGGAGUGGACGACGACGCCCCGCACAAGAUCAGCAGGAGCUCUCCGUCUCUCCAGUUCCAUGGACGGUGACGACCGGCACCCCACCCUCGAGCUCGAUAGCGAGAUCGUCCGCCCCGACCACCAUGAUUCCCCACAGAACAAGGUAUGAUUGCAUAGUGGGCUACUUGGUGGUGCCAAUAACAAUCAACAUGACAUAUGCAUAGUGUCCAUCAGGAGGGCCGACGACAAGAUGAAUAAUAACUUCAGUAGUUUAAUUGUUCUCUUUGUGUGAGCUGGAUUGUACUGUUUCCUAACUUUGUUGAGUGAUAUUUUGUCAACCUAUAUUGUAAAAUUACCAUUUCCUGAAGGAUCUUGUAAACUUCUAUAUUGUAAAUACCUGCGGAUGAUUGCAUAUUGAUUCAUAUAUGUAUGUAUGAAACUUUG